CCUACGGGAGGCAGCAGUGAGGAAUAUUGGUCAAUGGGCGCAAGCCUGAACCAGCCAAGUCGCGUGAGGGAUGACAGUCCUAUGGAUUGUAAACCUCUUUUGUCGGGGAGCAAGGCCCGCCACGUGUGGCGGGAAGGAGAGUACCCGAAGAAAAAGCAUCGGCUAACUCCGUUCCAGCAGCCGCGGUCAUACGUAGGAUGCGAGCGUUCUCCGGAUUUAUUGGGUUAAAGGGGUGCGGAGGCGGAAGGUUAAGUCAGCGGUAAAAUGUCGGUGCUCAACACCGGCCUGCCGUUGAAACUGGUCUUCUUGAGUGAGCGAGAAGUAUGCGGAAUGCGUGGUGUAGCGGUGAAAUGCAUAGAUAUCACGAAGAACUCCGAUUGCGAAGGCAGCAUACCGGCGCUCAACUGACGCUGAGGCACGAAAGCGUGGGGAUCGAACAGGAUUAGAUACCCUAGUAGUC
rnacentral:rRNA from 1 species